rnacentral:sRNA from 1 species
UGGGCCUUAAGAGUAGGGUGGAAGUGGAAUCCACAUUUGUUUUUCAGUCACUGAUGUAGAACUUACUCCAGCAAAAGGACUGUAAACAUGGAUUAUCUGUCGCAUCUAAGGGAUGCACUUGUACAGCCCUUGACCUCACAAGGAGUAGACGGAGUACAGGAUGUUGUUGCACUUAUGGACACAUAUUAUUUGAUGAAAGAAGACUUUGAGAAUAUCAUGGAAAUCAGCAGCUGGGGUGGCACACCUAGUCCCUUUUCAAAGCUGGAUCCCAAGGUGAAAGCAGCCUUCACAAGAGCUUACAAUAAGGAAGCCCACCUUACUCCAUAUUCACUUCAAGCUAUAAAGGCAUCUAGACACAGCACAAGCCCAUCCCUGGAUUCGGAAUACAACGAAGAAUUAAAUGAAGAUGACUCUCAGUCUGAUGAGAAAGACCAAGAUGCUAUAGAAACUGAUGCCAUAAUCCAGAAAAAGACAAAAUCUUCAAAGCCUUCAAAA